rnacentral:rRNA from 1 species
CUACGGGAGGCAGCAGUGGGGAAUAUUGGACAAUGGGCGCAAGCCUGAUCCAGCCAUGCCGCGUGAGUGAAGAAGGCCUUAGGGUUGUAAAGCUCUUUCACCCGCGAAGAUGAUGACGGUAGCGGGAGAAGAAGCCCCGGCUAACUCCGUGCCAGCAGCCGCGGUAAUACGGAGGGGGCUAGCGUUGUUCGGAAUUACUGGGCGUAAAGGGCACGUAGGCGGCGCAGCAAGUUAGAUGUGAAAGACCUGGGCUCAACCGAGGAAUUGCAUUUAAUACUGCUGUGCUAGAGUCCGAGAGAGGUGAGUGGAAUUCCCAGUGUAGAGGUGAAAUUCGUAGAUAUUGGGAAGAACACCAGUGGCGAAGGCGGCUCACUGGCUCGGUACUGACGCUGAGGUGCGAAAGCGUGGGGAGCAAACAGGAUUAGAAACCCCAGUAGUCC